rnacentral:rRNA from 1 species
UACGGAGGGUGCAAGCGUUAUCCGGAUUUACUGGGUUUAAAGGGUGCGUAGGCGGGUCUUUAAGUCAGUGGUGAAAGCUCCGAGCUUAACUCGGAAACUGCCAUUGAUACUAUUGGUCUUGAAUUCGGUCGAGGUUGGCGGAAUGUGUCGUGUAGCGGUGAAAUGCUUAGAUAUGACACAGAACACCGAUUGCGAAGGCAGCUAGCUAGACCGACAUUGACGCUGAGGCACGAAAGCGUGGGGAUCAAACAGG